rnacentral:lncRNA from 1 species
CUGGUUGUGCUGGAACAGAAGUAACAGAUGGUCACUGUCACUGUGCUCGCAUGGUCCAAUAUCUUAUAGCAGGCAUGCAAGCAGUUUCUAAUAAGGUAGUUAACUUUGAUAAAUUGAAGGACAUUACUUAGAAUCCUGAUGAAAAUCCAUCCUUAUUUCUCAACUGCCUUACAGAGGCCCUAACCAAAUACACUAAGCUAGACCUUGAGUCUCCCAUCAGGGCUACAGUGUUAGCAACCCAUUUCAUUACUCAAUUGGCCUAUGAUAUCAGAAAAAAAGAAAAAAAACUCAAAUGAGCUAAGGAGGACCCUUGGACCCCUAUCUGAGAUCUGGUAAAAAUGGCUUUUAAAGCAGGCUCCAUUGCAGAAGAAAAAGGUAACACCCCAAACCCAGGCCUUGGCAGCAGCCCUGAGGCCUACAUCUCCGGCAAAAGUUUCAGAGGGGAACCAGCAUUCCUCUCCACCAGAGGCUUGCCUCAAAUAUGGAUAGGAAGGUCACUGGGCUCGCCAAUGCCCAAACCCACGGCCUCCUUCCAGGCCAUGCCCCACCUGUAAGCAGACAGGACAUUGGAAGAUUGACUGCCCCAUGGCUGGCCCUUCCUCGGCACCUCUACGCAGGGGUAUGACCAGUCAGGCAGUCCCUUCUCCUGAACUUUUGGGGUUCGCAGAAGACUGAAGAAGCCCAGAUUCAAAGACCCCCUCAGCCCUCUCUGAGCCCAGGGUAGUGCUCCAGGCAGCGAGUAAGUCCAUUCCUUGUGGACACAGG